rnacentral:tRNA from 1 species
GGGGAUAUAGCUCAGCUGGGAGAGCGCUUGAAUGGCAUUCAAGAGGUCAGGGGUUCGAGCCCCCUUAUCUCCA